GUUUGCUGUGAGCAUUUGGAAGAUACUCUAUCAGGUUGUGAAGGUCCUUUAUUGCUGGCUCAUGAUGAGUUUUGUAUCAGGCAUAGCUGUUGGAUUUUAUAAAGUGUUAUUUCUCUGAAGUGUUGCAGGCCCUUUUAGUGAGAAGUGUAACGUUAACAGUUAUCUGUUGCUGCGUAACGAUAUUCAAACCCAGUAGCUCUGAGCGACGAUAAUUUAUUUUCUCCGCUGUGCAAUUUGGCCUUGGCUAGCUUCUUUGGUCUGGGGCCACUCAUGUCAUUUGGCUGCUGUACUGGCAAGAGAUGAUUCAAGGUGACCUCACUCCCAUUUCUGGCCGUGGGUUAGGCCUGUCAGCCAACGGGUCCCAGUUGUUCUCCGUGGGGCCUCUCCAGGAGGGUGGCCCAGCGUUUUUGCAUCCCGGUGGCAGCAUCCCAUGACGGCUGCCCCUGAGGAGCAUCUCUGCUGGGCACGCUUGCUGUCACCCUGUUGGCCAAAGCAGGUCACAUGACUAGCGCGGAGCCAAUGUGGGAGGGGCUACGCCGGCAGGUGCCUCCAGGGGGUGGGCUUCACCGCGGGCAUUGAGACAAAGGUAUCGCACACGCCGUGUUCAGCUUUGGGCUGUGACAGAGGCCGGCGUGUCUAUACACGUUUGGGUCUAGGAGCUGCUUCAUCAGACCCGUCUCCCCAUGCGCUCUGUCAUGACCGCCUGUCCCGUGCCUCACGGCUCUGGAGACACCCAGUAACUUGGCUGCCGGGGGAAGGAAGAAUGUUGUAGACCUUCUUAACUCACGGAGUUUGGCUUCACUACAGGAGGAAACCCCGAGACGCUAAUUUCCUCUGGACCCAACCCCACCGCCUCUUGCAAGCUUUCCCACUGCCUGUGGUGACUCCUUGCCACCAAGGGCAGAGUUAUGGGGACUCCCUUGACCCGGCUCCCUCUCCCCUCCUCCCUGAUGCCUAUGAAGCCGGUGGGGGGGGGGGCGGUGGAGGGGGGUGCAGUCUCUUUAGAGUUUUCUUUAGAAAAGCUAAGGUGCAUAAAAUCAUCCCCUAAUCGCCCAAAGCUUGGUUCUAACCCCCAGCUCUGGCCUUCUGUAAUUUUUAGCAUGCUCGUUAUAGAUCAAGGUUAUACAGCAGAAUGCUUCAGUCCCGAGCGUGGCUGGGUUUAUGUGCUGUUCGGGAAGCGCUGGGUACUCCAGUGAUGAACAGAACGGAGGACACUUACGAGCAACUGCGGGGUAGUUAACAUGACGGAUGGAGAAGUAUGGGGUGGUGUUUCCGCCUCCGGUCAGGUCACUGAGGAGAAAGGAAGGAGUAAUUAAGACGGCUGGGUAAUGCUUCUGGAACAGUUAGCCUCUGCAGGCCGGAGGCAAGUCCGCAGGGGCGGCGGAGGAGGGGCUGGAGAGUCAGGAAAGGGAGUGAGCUGCUUGGGAGGCGGCUCAUUACCAUGGAAAUGAAGGAAGAGUGAGGCACUGACCUUGAACGGGAGGAGGGAGCUGGACAAGGGCCACCACGGAGAAGGUUACGGCCCUGAGGGAGUCACUUGCAGUCCCUGUGCUCAGACAUCAAGGUGGAACAUGAAUCUGAGCGUCGCCCUUCUCUAGCCCCUCACGUUGGCUGAUGACAUUUUCUUGAUCACCAUUCUGCUAAUGGAGGAGGGAAAAUGAAUGUCAGCUCAGUGAGAUUCUACCUCAAAUUAACCUUUGACUCACGGCCCUGGCUGGAAUUGGGUUUUUCCCUCCCCAAAGCUUCGAGCUGAGUCGACGCCUCCCAGAGGAGCUACAGGGACGCGGUCUUCCGUCCCUGUCCCAGAAGACUGCUUCUUCCACCGGGAUGGGACAGAAAGAGCUGGAAGGCGGGAUGGCCAGAGAUCGGAUGGCCCAUGACCAUCCUCCGCCUGGGCUCCGCUCUGCUCCCGCUGCCUGGACCAAAGUGCAGUUCCUUCCGAUCCCUGGAUAGAAAAAAAAAACAUGGCUAAUAUGGAGGAACGCGUUUAAAAUGAAAUCCCAAACUGAAAUCGGUCUGCUGCCCCAAUUCUGGUCAGAGUGGAAGAAAAGAGCCCCUGAAGGCUGGUUGUCGUGGCUCCAGAGGGAGUACAUGAUUGCUGCCGUCUGGCCUUUGCAGAGAGCUGGAGAGUCUCUGUGCCUCAUUCUGCUCCAGAGCAAGCAGUUUUCUCUCCUUUGGUGCCAGAAGUGCUGAUGAGCACAUCUCUCCUCGGUGAGGAAGGGAAAGCUUGGACUGCGGGUUCUUUCGAGGAUCUGAAGCUCUUGGUCCUGGUUAUCUAUUUCCACUUGGUGCUCUGAGAGAUUAGCACUUUCCUUGCAAGCGGAGUGCAAUUUCUGUGAAUUCAAUCAAGAAUGAAGUUCUGGACCCAGCUUCCUGCAAGGAUUGAGCACAGUCGGCUGGAACCAGGGGACCCUUUUACCUUCAGCAACGCCACAUUGCUGCCUUGUCCUUUUUCUUGGUGGAGAUUUAUAUGUUUUUCAUGCUGUCUCACUCAGUUUCCUCCGUCACCCGGUGGAUUGUUCUUUUACAGAUGAAGAGCCUGACGUCCAAGACAACUAAAUGAGUUGUCCAAGGUCGCUCAGGAAGGGGGAGGGCUGGAGUCGAACCCUGUCUUUAUGCCUCCACAACUUGUACUCUGUCUACCGUGGGCCUUCUCUGCCUCCC